rnacentral:rRNA from 1 species
UACGUAGGGUGCAAGCGUUAAUCGGAAUACUGGGCGUAAAGCGUGCGCAGGCGGUUAUGUAAGACAGGUGUGAAAUCCCCGGGCUUAACCUGGGAACUGCAUUUGUGACUGCAUAGCUAGAGUACGGUAGAGGGGGAUGGAAUUCCGCGUGUAGCAGUGAAAUGCGUAGAUAUGCGGAGGAACACCGAUGGCGAAGGCAAUCCCCUGGACCUGUACUGACGCUCAUGC